GCAGCAGUGGGGAUAUUGCACAAUGGGGGAAACCCUGAUGCAGCCAUGCCGCGUGUGUGAAGAAGGCCUUCGGGUUGUAAAGCACUUUCAGUAGGGAGGAAAGGGUGUAGUUUAAUACGCUAUAUCUGUGACGUUACCUACAGAAGAAGGACCGGCUAACUCCGUGCCAGCAGCCGCGGUAAUACGGAGGGUCCGAGCGUUAAUCGGAAUUACUGGGCGUAAAGCGUGCGCAGGCGGUUUGUUAAGCGAGAUGUGAAAGCCCUGGGCUCAACCUAGGAAUAGCAUUUCGAACUGGCGAACUAGAGUCUUGUAGAGGGGGGUAGAAUUCCAGGUGUAGCGGUGAAAUGCGUAGAGAUCUGGAGGAAUACCGGUGGCGAAGGCGGCCCCCUGGACAAAGACUGACGCUCAUGCACGAAAGCGUGGGGAGCAAACAGGAUUAGAUACCCUGGUAGUCCACGCCGUAAACGAUGUCUACUCGGAGUUUGGUGUCUUGAACACUGGGCUCUCAAGCUAACGCAUUAAGUAGACCGCCUGGGGAGUACGGCCGCAAGGUUAAAACUCAAAUGAAUUGACGGGGCCCCC
rnacentral:rRNA from 1 species